rnacentral:rRNA from 1 species
GCAAGUCGAACGAACCCUUCGGGGUUAGUGGCGCACGGGUGCGUAACGCGUGGGAACCUGCCUUUAGGUUCGGAAUAACUCAGAGAAAUUUGAGCUAAUACCGGAUGAUGUUUUCGGACCAAAGAUUUAUCGCCUUUAGAUGGGCCCGCGUUAGAUUAGAUAGUUGGUGGGGUAAUGGCCUACCAAGUCGACGAUCUAUAGCUGGUCUGAGAGGAUGAUCAGCCACACUGGGACUGAGACACGGCCCAGACUCCUACGGGAGGCAGCAGUGGGGAAUAUUGGACAAUGGGCGAAAGCCUGAUCCAGCAAUGCCGCGUGAGUGAUGAAGGCCUUAGGGUUGUAAAGCUCUUUUACC